AGAUUGAACGCUAGCGGGAUGCUUUACACAUGCAAGUCGAACGGCAGCGCGGACUUCGGUCUGGCGGCGAGUGGCGAACGGGUGAGUAAUAUAUCGGAACGUGCCCAGUAGCGGGGGAUAACUACGCGAAAGCGUGGCUAAUACCGCAUACGCCCUACGGGGGAAAGGGGGGAUCGCAAGACCUCUCACUAUUGGAGCGGCCGAUAUCAGAUUAGCUAGUUGGUGAGGUAAAGGCUCACCAAGGCGACGAUCUGUAGCUGGUUUGAGAGGACGACCAGCCACACUGGGACUGAGACACGGCCCAGACUCCUACGGGAGACAGCAGUGGGGAAUUUUGGACAAUGGGGGAAACCCUGAUCCAGCCAUCCCGCGUGUGCGAUGAAGGCCUUCGGGUUGUAAAGCACUUU
rnacentral:rRNA from 1 species